CAGUAGCCGCGGUAAUACGUAGGGUGCAAGCGUUAAUCGGAAUUACUGGGCGUAAAGCGUGCGCAGGCGGUUCGGAAAGAAAGAUGUGAAAUCCCAGGGUUCAACCUUGGAACUGCACUUUUAACUACCGGACUAGAGUAUGUCAGAGGGAGGUGGAAUUCCACGUGUAGCAGUGAAAUGCGUAGAUAUGUGGAGGAACACCGAUGGCGAAGGCAGCCUCCUGGGAUAAUACUGACGCUCAUGCACGAAAGCGUGGGGAGCAAACAGGAUUAGAUACCCGCGUAGUCCCUGUCUCUUAUAA
rnacentral:rRNA from 1 species